rnacentral:rRNA from 1 species
UACGAAGGGGGCUAGCGUUGCUCGGAAUCACUGGGCGUAAAGCGCACGUAGGCGGCUUUCUAAGUCAGGGGUGAAAUCCUGGAGCUCAACUCCAGAACUGCCUUUGAUACUGGAAAGCUUGAGUUCGGGAGAGGUGAGUGGAACUGCGAGUGUAGAGGUGAAAUUCGUAGAUAUUCGCAAGAACACCAGUGGCGAAGGCGGCUCACUGGCCCGAUACUGACGCUGAGGUGCGAAGCGUGGGGAGC